rnacentral:rRNA from 1 species
AUUGAACGCUGGCGGCAGGCCUAACACAUGCAAGUCGAACGAGUGGCGGACGGGUUAGUUAUGUCUGUGAAACUGCGUGAUGGAUGGGGAUAACUACCGGACACGGUAGCUAAUACCGCAUACCAUCAGAUGUGCCCAGGUGGGAUUAUCUUGUUGUUGGGGUAACGGCCCACCAAGGCGACGAUCCCUAGCUGGUCUGAGAGGAUGACCAGCCACACUGGAACUGAGACACGGUCCAGACUCCUACGGGAGGCAGCAGUGGGGAAUAUUGCACAAUGGGCGAAAGCCUGAUGCAGCCAUGCCGCGUGUAUGAAGAAGGCCUUCGGGUUGUAAAGUACUUUAAGCGGGGAGGCGUUACCCGCAGAAGAAGCACCGGCUAACUCCGUGCCAGCAGCCGCGGUAAUAC